UGCCCCUUGGCCCAGUUGGUGAAGGCGCACGACUGUUAUGAUGCAUACAACCACAUCAAUCGUGAGAUCGCAAGUUCGAACCUUGCAGGGGCAG